UACAGAGGGGGCAAGCGUUGUUCGGAAUUACUGGGCGUAAAGGGCGCGUAGGCGGCCCGCUAAGUCGAACGUGAAAUCCCCGAGCUCAACUCGGGAACUGCGUCCGAUACUGGCGGGCUUGAAUCCGGGAGAGGGAUGCGGAAUUCCUGGUGUAGCGGUGAAAUGCGCAGAUAUCAGGAGGAACACCGGUGGCGAAGGCGGAUCUCUGGGCCGUAACUGACGCUGAGGCGCGACAGCGUGGGGAGCAAACAGG
rnacentral:rRNA from 1 species